GCGGAAGUGGCGGAAUUGGCAGACGCGCUAGAUUCAGGUUCUAGUGGCCGCAAGGUCGUGGGGGUUCAAGUCCCCCCUUCCGCACCA
rnacentral:tRNA from 3 species